AUACGGAGGAUCCGAGCGUUAUCCGGAUUUAUUGGGUUUAAAGGGAGCGUAGGUGGACAGUUAAGUCAGUUGUGAAAGUUUGCGGCUCAACCGUAAAAUUGCAGUUGAUACUGGCUGUCUUGAGUACAGUAGAGGUGGGCGGAAUUCGUGGUGUAGCGGUGAAAUGCUUAGAUAUCACGAAGAACUCCGAUUGCGAAGGCAGCUCACUGGACUGCAACUGACACUGAUGCUCGAAAGUGUGGGUAUCAAACAGGAUUAGAUACCCUGGUAGUCCACACAGUAAACGAUGAAUACUCGCUGUUUGCGAUAUACAGUAAGCGGCCAAGCGAAAGCAUUAAGUAUUCCACCUGGGGAGUACGCCGGCAACGGUGAGACUCAAAGGAAUUGGCGGGG
rnacentral:rRNA from 1 species